AGUGCUACCAACUGAGCGUGACGAAAAAGUACGGUGAACGAAAAUUGGUUGUCAUGCGCAAGCGCUGUGCUUGUUGCAGAAGAAAAUAAAAUAUCGAUUUUUAUGGAGUAGUUGUGUGUGGUAUUCAAUUUUUCUCACUUGUGCAAAAUAGCAGGGUGUUGUGAGAAGCCAGUGAGAUAGUGCAUUUAUUUGGCACUGACCAGCAAAACCAUAAAAUUCCACCAUCAAAUGGAUAUCUAGUAAAGUGCGCCCUGCCCCAAAACACUUCCAUACAAUCUUCUCCGUUUUAAGCACGAGCCCCAAUCGAGUGUGCUGUGGCUUGAGUGAAGUUUUCUUAUUCUGUGGAAAGGAGAAUAUCCAAGUGAAAUCACGACAGAAAGCAUACUAGACAGUGAAUCAUGACGAAGGAUAGAUUAGCAGCACUUGUCGCGGCCCAGAGCGACGAUGAUGACGUGGGGCCGGACGAUGUUGCUGUUAAUGUUGAGGGAAGGGAUGGAUUUAUGGAUGACUUCUUCAAUGAAGUCGAAGAGAUACGAGAGAUGAUAGAUAAGAUCCAGACAAAUGUGGAGGAAGUUAAGAAAAAACAUAGUGCAAUUCUAUCAGCGCCUCAAUCAGAUGAGAAGACAAAGCAGGAGUUGGAAGACCUUAUGGCUGAGAUCAAGAAAACUGCCAAUAGAGUCCGUACUAAGCUAAAGGGCAUUGAACAGAACAUCGAACAAGAAGAACAGGCUAAUAAGUCCAGUGCUGACCUACGAAUACGCAAAACACAGCAUUCAACCCUCUCGAGGAAAUUCGUUGAGGUGAUGACGGAGUACAAUCGGACUCAGACAGACUACAGAGAACGGUGCAAAGGGAGGAUACAGAGGCAGUUAGAAAUUACGGGUAGAACUACAACCAAUGAAGAAUUGGAAGAGAUGUUAGAGCAAGGGAAUCCAGCGGUAUUCACUCAAGGAAUUAUUAUGGAAACGCAACAAGCCAAACAGACUCUGGCAGAUAUUGAAGCUCGACAUGCAGAUAUUAUUAAGUUAGAGAAUUCAAUCAGAGAACUUCAUGAUAUGUUCAUGGAUAUGGCAAUGCUAGUCGAGAGUCAGGUGCGUACCAAAUACAUUGCAAAUUUACUUUCAUUUACUAUCUUUAACAUUUUUGCUGACUCCAUGUGUGGGCAAGAAAAAAAAUUUGCUUGCGUUGCCAUUUAACUUUUUCAGAUAAACUUUUCAUGUCUGAUAGUGAGAGAUAAGAAUGGUGUUAGAGAAAAAAAAAUUGGCUCUAUUGAGUUUCAGAAAACAUCAUAAAAGUCUUACCAAAAAUGUUGAUUACCUCUUCAAAAAAAAAAAAGUUCAAGUAGAGAGAUGAAUAAUCCUAUUUUCAAUAUUUAUGGUUUGAUCUUUUUAGUUUAUUUUUUUUUCAUUCCCGUGAAUGGAAAGAAAACUUCAAAAGUUUUAGAUAAAUCCAUUAAAUAUUGAAAGUUAAGUUGAAAUUACGAAUUUAUUUUGAAAAAUACACUGUAAACAAGUUUUGUCAAAUUAACAAGAAAAGUUUGUCAAAAGGAUGUUGUUCUCAGAAUAUGGAAAAGUUUUGUCAAAUCGACAAUCGGCGGUCAAUUGGAUCUUGUUAAAAGUUUGUCAAAGGGAUGUUUCUCCAUAUAAAAUGUAAGAAAAAGUUUUGUAAAAUUGGUAAACAACAUCCAUUUAACAAAUUUUUAACAAGAAUCAUUUUUAAAGAAAAGAGUUCAUAAAGCCCUUCAGCUUUUUAGUAUUGUCAAUCUUGUGAGUAUAAUGUCAUUAAUUGUUUCAAUAAGAGUUGCUACUAGAUUUUCUAUAUUUCUAAAUUUCAACGAAAUAUUUUGUCAUUUCAUUCAAUUUGUAGUCAAUUCAAACAAAUUCAUAUUUUUUCUUUAAAAUUUGUCAAGAAAUCAGUGCAAACCCGGUUAAAAACGGCUUAGAUUUCUCAGGAAUUCCAAGACCUUUCCAAUGAACUCAAAUUUACCCCAAUCCGUUAAGAAGCAUGCUCUGUAGAGCUUUUUUGAUCUUUGACCUUGAAAACCCAUUAUUGGGAAUAAUUCAAGGGUAUUUUCAUACCGUAAAUGUGGGUGACUUUGCGCUUCUGGAGUGUCUUUUCCCCUUGUUGUUCGUAAGUUUGUUUUUCACUUAUCGGACACGGCAGAUCGGAUCGAUGAGGGCCAUGAGGACUAUCCUUAUGUGCUAAAAUUAAAAAGGAAAAUUUGUAAAAGCAGAGGGAAAAGUCAUCCUGGAAAGGCAAAGUCACCCGGAUCUACGGCAUGUUUACAAACUGUCCAUCCAGACAACUUCUAAAUAAAGGUUCUAGGGUCAUCUUAAUUUGACAGACAUCGACUUACGAGAGGUCUUCCAAAAACCACAAAAACCGCUGUCCCUAAAGCGGUCUUCAGACUUGAGGUUUAGCCCAGUUCCCGAAGAUCUCAAAAUCCUAAAUAACAACCAAUUUUAUUGUUUUUUUCUGAAUUUAAUAAGUCAAUUGGUCUUAAUAAUCCAAUCCCAAGGUAAUAUUUUCCAAAAAAUCUUGAUUGUUGAACAAUUAGAGCAGUUAAUCCAUAUGGCUAAAUCUCAGGUCUGAAGCCCGUAUAACGGUUCGUUUCCUAAAUCUACUUACGGCUAAAUGGUCAAACGCCCUACUCUAAAAAAAAAAU